rnacentral:lncRNA from 1 species
AACAACGCUCCAUUGGAUGAACGCUAUUUGUCAACAGCAUAUUUGAAAACUCCACUUGAGAAGGAGUCUAUGAAAUUAAUCAAGGUGGACGCGCAGCAUCGGAUUCCGAGUGGAAUAAUUCCAUUUGUAUGCUUCGCCGCGUAGAGUACUUCCUGGACCUUGGAAACAAUGUUCUCUAUUUUAAGACACUCUUCAUAUGAUGCAGACGUGACGAUAAGCCAAUCCAUCUGGAUGAGUCUCACUCAGUGAGGAUGUUGCCAGCCUGUACUCUUCUUAGCCACUUCUGGUUCGGUUUCUUCAUUCUUCUCUCUACUAGAGUGGAAGGGUGAUUCAUAACCGAGGGUGUAGCAAAAGGGGUUUUCUCAUAUUUUAUAAACUUCUUCACACAAUACCUGAGAAUAGACUACAUAUCUCAUAAGCAAUCUUCGCCGUAGUGGAUACUAUAAUUCCAAGAAGUGAUGUUGACUGGGCGAAUUCAAGAUUUAGUAAAUGUUACUUCAGAUGAUCCUCACAGUUGGUAAGUAUUUGUGUUUUCUCUAUAUUUAUAGAUAGUCCUGAUAUUUUUCCGAACCCUUGUAUUGUUUCAAUAGAAGUCUCAAUUGAUUGUAGCACUUCUUCUCUAGUUCCUUUACAGAAAAGCGUCAGGUCAUCUGCGCAUAAAAGACAUUUCAUCGACAUAUUACAUAUAUUUAUAUUCACUUAAUUUUAGGGUAACUAUGGAUUCUCUCAUAAAUGUCGUUUAUGUCAAUUAUAAAGAGAGUUGGAGAAAGAGGAUCUCCUUGUCGUGCUCCUCAAUGGAUAUAAAACGUUUUUUUGGUACCUGAUAUUUCGAUUUUCGAAGAAGAGUUCCUCAGUAUGGCCGAUAUUUUUUUAUAAAUCCAUCCGGAAAUCCAUAUUUAUAUAGUUGCCCAAUUAUGAAGUUAUGGGAGACAGUAUCAAAUGAUUUCUCAAAGUCAAACAUAAUUGCUGCAAAGUCUUCAUUUUCCGAACAGUCAAUAGCAUCUUGGAUUGAGCGAAGAAUAUUUUCUAGGAACCUUGAUUUAAUUAAUCCUUUUUGGGCUGGAGAGAUGAAUUGCGGGAUUCGAUUAUUUAAAACACCCGUAAGGAUUUUGUUGGAGUAUCAAUGCCAAAGAUCCGGUGUUGAUGAAAUCUGGAACGAAUCCCCUUUUAAAUAUAUCUUCAUAGACCCCGUGAAGAACAGGGGUAAGCUACGUAUUUAAAGAUUAAUAAAAUUCAAAAAGCAGACCCGAGGGCCCUGGAGACUUGUAUUUUUUAUUGUAGUUCCUGAUAAAGUUAGUAAUCUCAAUUUGUGAAAUUGGAUCGUCUAUGCCUUUAAAUUUGUAACUAAUAAAUUUUUUAUUUAUUUCGAUUUUUAACAUUAUCAAAAAGCCCUAAGACUCCUCUAGAUCGUCCUACUGAUAUAUUAUUUUUACAAAUAAAUGUUUUAUUAUUAAUGGGGUCUUGAUAUGACCAACUGCUUCAUAGCAAAACCUGGACUGAUCAAAUAAAAAAUAAAGAAAUACAAGGUCUUAUGUGUCUUUAAAAAGCAAGCUCAAUCUCUUUCUUACUUUUUUUUCUGUGACGAGUACUAAAGACAAUAUAAAAAGUGUGAUUAUGGAGGAUCGAGUUUGUAAAUCAAGACACUUUGAGAUAUACUAUUAUGAUAUCUUUAUUUCAUUUGUCAGGCCCUUUACUUCGAAAAAGAGAAAUAAAAGAAAAUUCCUAAAUAGUUGGUAGUUAGCCAAUUAGAAAUAAAUAAUAUUUUCGUUAUUUAACAAGAUACAAUUUGAGUAUAAUAAAUCAACGACAUUAAUAAAAGACACAAAUGGAGAGAUCAAUACUUGACAAACAAAAACAUAAUACAUUUUUCUGUUAGUUAAAUAACGACAUUUUUUUUUUUUUU